CGUCAAACAUUUGUUUACUUCUAGCUUGUUUUGUUUAGAGUGCAACAUGAUUUUAUUGUUCAUAUUUAUUUAGUUAUUUGUUCUUAUAACUUUAGUUUAGCGUGGUUUAGUUUAGCAUGAAUUUAGUUUAGCGUGGGAUUUGUUUAGCGUGGGUUAGUUUAGUGGUGGGAUUUGAUUAGCGUGGGUUUAGUUUAGUGUGGGAUUUGUCUAUGCUGGGAUUAGUUUGUGGGUGUUAUAUCAUGGGUAAUUGUCUAUUAACAUCCAACUUGUUUUGUUAGUGUGGGUCAUUUUAUUUUAUGAGUUUUUUUGUGUGGCUCAUUUUUACUUUUUCAUUUUGUGUUUAACAUUGGUUUGGUAUUUUUUUAUUCUAGCUGGUUUCAUUUAGCGCUGAUCAUUUUUCACUUUGUAACUUUUGUUUUUUCUUUUUGCUUGUAUCCUGUAGCCAUGUGCAAGAAUCCAUUAUUGAAGUCUGAGCUUCUCAGCAGGCUGUUAUUUAACACAGAACGAUUCUGGGAAUUGGCUUUUAUAGAGAUCUGACACUUUGGCUCUUUGGUUUCUGGCUUUGUUUAAGACUUUCUCUCUAUGAACUCCCGGGAGACGCGAGCGAGAGACGUGAGAUUAAAGUGUACUUUAUUAUUUUUUACCCUCUCUUUGUUUUGUAAAAGUACAUGUAGGACUGUUUCGGUCUCUCACUCAGGACUGUGAUACGCAUGAACGUGUGGGAGGCGCCGUACAGUGGGGAGACGAUUAAAAUGAGACACAGGUAAAGGACUGAAAGAAAGUCAGGCAAGCUGCUGCUCCUCAUGCACCUGAAUGGUGGAAUGUGGUAUUAACGAUGGAGAGAGGAAAAAACUUCGCUUUGAGUGACUGCUGCAACAUGAGCACAAUUACAACUAAUGCAAUUAAUGUCUUUAAAUAAGACAUCAAGAAUGACUUAUACCGCAGCGUGCUGACGAGACGUGUGAGAGGCUAUACUCGAAUCUAUACAUACAGGAGAGAGAGACAGCGAGAGAGAGAGAGAGAGAGAGAGAGACAUCGAGAGAGAGAGAGAGAGAGAGAGACAUCGAGAGAGAGAGAGAGAGAGAGAGAGAGACAUAGAGAGAGAGUGACAUCAAGAGAGAGAGAGAGAGAGAGAGAGAGAGAGAGAGAGAGACAGCAAGAG
ensembl:lncRNA